rnacentral:rRNA from 1 species
GGAAUAUUGGGCAAUGGAGGCAACUCUGACCCAGCAACGCCGCGUGAGUGAUGAAGGUCUUCGGAUUGUAAAACUCUUUAAGUGGGGACGAAGAAAGUGACUGUACCCACAGAAUAAGCCUCGGCUAACUACGUGCCAGCAGCCGCGGUAAUACGUAGGAGGCAAGCGUUAUCCGGAAUGACUGGGCGUAAAGGGUGCGUAGGUGGUUCGACAAGUUGGUAGCGUAAUUCCGGGGCUCAACCUCGGCGCUACUACCAAAACUGUUGGGCUUGAGUGCAGGAGGGGCAGAUGGAAUUCCUAGUGUAGCGGUGGAAUGCGUAGAUAUUAGGAGGAACACCAGUGGCGAAGGCGAUCUGCUGGACUGUAACUGACACUGAGGCACGAAAGCGUGGGGAGCAAACA